rnacentral:rRNA from 1 species
AGCAGCCGCGGUAAUUCCAGCUCCAAUAGCGUAUAUUAAAGUUGUUGCAGUUAAAAAGCUCGUAGUUGAAUUUCGGGAUCAAUUUAUCGGUCGUGCCUAUGGUAUGAACUGGUACAAUUGGUUUCUCCCUUCUGACGAAGCAUGAUGUCAUUAAUUUGGUGUCGUGGGGAAUCAGGACUGUUACUUUGAAAAAAUUAGAGUGUUUAAAGCAAGCAUUAGCUUGAAUACAUUAGCAUGGAAUAAUGAAAUAGGACGUUUGAUCCUAUUUCGUUGGUUUCUAGGAUCGACGUAAUGAUUAAUAGGGAUAGUUGGGGGCAUCAGUAUUCAAUUGUCAGAGGUGAAAUUCUUGAAUUUAUUGAAGACUAACUACUGCGAAAGCAUUUGCCAAGGAUGUUUUCAUUAAUCAAGAACGAAAGUUAGGGGAUCGAAGACGAUCAGAUACCGUCGUAGUCUUAACCAUAAACUAUGCCGACUAGGGAUCGGAUGAUGUUAAUUUUUUAAUGACUCA